rnacentral:rRNA from 1 species
GACGAACGCUGGCGGCGUGCCUAAUACAUGCAAGUUGAGCGCUGAAGGUUGGUACUUGUACCAACUGGAUGAGCAGCGAACGGGUGAGUAACGCGUGGGGAAUCUGCCUUUGAGCGGGGGACAACAUUUGGAAACGAAUGCUAAUACCGCAUAAAAACUUUAAACACAAGUUUUAAGUUUGAAAGAUGCAAUUGCAUCACUCAAAGAUGAUCCCGCGUUGUAUUAGCUAGUUGGUGAGGUAAAGGCUCACCAAGGCGAUGAUACGUAGCCGACCUGAGAGGGUGAUCGGCCACGUUGGGACUGAGACACGGCCCAAACUCCUACGGGAGGCAGCAGUAGGGAAUCUUCGGCAAUAGACGAAAGUCUGACCGAGCAACGCCGCGUGAGUGAAGAAGGUUUUCGGAUCGUAAAACUCUGUUGGUAGAGAAGAACGUUGGUGAGAGUGGAAAGCUCAUCAAGUGACGGUAACUACCCAGAAAGGGACGGCUAACUACGUG